GAGUGCAACAGUUGUUCGGAAUUACUGGGCUUGAAGCGCACGUAGGCGGCGUUGUAAGUGUCGGGUGAAAUCCCACGGCUCACCCGUGGAACUGCCCGGCAUACUGCGAUGCUAGAGUGUGGUAGGGGAGAGCGGAACUCCUGGUGGAGCGGUGAAAUGCGUAGAUAUCAGGAGGAACACCGGUGGCGAAGGCGGCUCUCUGGGCCGUAACUGACGCUGAGGAGCGAAAGCGUGGGGAGCGAACAGG
rnacentral:rRNA from 1 species